UACGACUACAUAUCAGGCAUAUCAAUAAGCGGAGGAAAAGAAACUAACUAGGAUUCCCUUAGUAACGGCGAGUGAAGCGGGAAGAGCUCAAAUUUGAAAUCUUCAAGGUUUUACCUUGACGAAUUGUAGUUUAAAGAAGUGUUUUCUGUUAGUGGAGUUGGUAAAAGUUCUUUGGAAUAGGACAUCAUAGAGGGUGAGAAUCCCGUAUUUGGACCAUUACUUCCUAGCUUUGUGAUACACUUUCAAAGAGUCGGAUUGUUUGGGAAUGCAGUCCAAAAUGGGUGGUAAAUUUCAUCUAAAGCUAAAUAUUGGCGAGAGACCGAUAGCGAACAAGUACCGUGAGGGAAAGAUGAAAAGAACUUUGAAAAGAGAGUUAAACAGUACGUGAAAUUGUCAAAAGGGAAGCGUUUGACACCAGUGUUGUUUUCUCGAAAAUCAAUUAAAAAUGACCGGAUUUUGUGUUGUAUUGACUUUAUCAGCUUUCUGCACUUUUUUCUCGUCUUUUUUAAUGCACUUUUCGUUUAACAAGUCAACAUCAAUUUCUUUUGUUGUAAAAGGGUCAUUGGAAGGUGGCUUUCUUUUCGGAGAAAGUAUUUAUAGCCUUUGACUUCUGCAAUCGGAGAGAUUGAGGUCUGCAGCGUAGAUCCUUCGGGGUUAGAUGCAUUUGUGCUAAGUUAUAGCCUUUCAUAGACAACUUGUUGACUAUGAUCAGUCAUGUAGCUUACUCGCUUAUGUCAUUUUACCUACACUUAGGAUGUUGAUCUCUCACAGUCGAGC
rnacentral:rRNA from 1 species